rnacentral:rRNA from 1 species
CUGGCGGCGUGCUUCAUACAUGCAAGUCGAACGAGAAGCUGACUUCGGUCAGUGGAAAGUGGCGGACGGGUGAGUAAUGUGUAGAGAAUCUGCCCUUUAGUGGGGGACAACAGUUGGAAACGACUGCUAAUACCCCAUAUGCGCGUAUCUGCGAUGAUAUUCGUGAAAACUCCGGUGCUAAAGGAUGAGUCUGCAUCUGAUUAGCUAGUUGGCGGUGUAAUGGACCACCAAGGCGACGAUCAGUAGCUGGUUUGAGAGGAUGAUCAGCCACAAUGGGACUGAGACACGGCCCAUACUCCUACGGGAGGCAGCAGUAGGGAAUUUUGCGCAAUGGGGGAAACCCUGACGCAAGCAACGCCGCGUGAUUGAAUAAGCCCUUCGGGGUGUAAAGAUCUGUCAGUGGGGACGAAACUUGACGGUACCCACAGAGGAAGCAUCGGCUAACUCCGUGCCAGCCGCAGC